UUCCUGCCCGGGUGGGCCGCUGCGCCGCAGUGAGGGCCCGAGUCCCGCUCUUCACGGCGCCUUCGCGUCCGUGACCGCAUUCGAAUGGAUACCCUUUUGCGGAGAUCAAGUUCGACCUCGGUGUUGGAGAUGAAGAGACAGGUUUAGAACUUAAGCUUCGACUUGUGCCCACUAAGCCGUUUUCUGACUCCCACGCCUUUCAUCUCCCUGGGGAGGCUGUGCUCGGCAUCCUCCUUGGGGUUGUCCUCCUCCUCUCCUCCUCGCCUCCACCCCUCCCUUUACUUAGAGUAAGUUGGCUGUGGAUGACGUUUAGUGUAAUUCCUAAUGCAGAUAAAGAUGCGGGCUAAAAGAGGCCCAAUAACUUAUGAAGAACGCACAGCAAGUAAUCAGAAGAGUAGGAACUCCACCUGAGGACUUCAGGCUUUGCAGCCGGUGUAAACCUCAUCCCAUCCCACGACCUCAGAUGAGACAAUUAGCCAGUGGCCGUGUCCUGUCCGGUUCCAUGAUGAUAUUAACACUCCCCCCAAAAGUGUACUCUUCCCAUCCACCCAGUCAUUCCACAAACAUUUGUUAGCACCUGCUGUGAGCCAGACAGUACCAUGCACUAGGAUGCACACAUAAAAUACAAAAUCUCCAGCCUUGACAAGCUCAGUCCUUAGUUGGGAAACUUGCAACAUGAGGUGUGCCAAAGUAGGUACCCCCACGUGGUGUGCAAGCCCAGAGCAGGGCCAUCUGGAAAAGCUGGAGAGCCAAGGAAGGCGCCAUGACGUGGUAACGCCUGGACCGAUCCCUGACAGAAGGAUAACAUCCUCGGAAGCAGACGGUGAGGAAACUGAGGCCCUAAAAGGGGAUGGAGUUUGUCCAAGAUCACAAAUUGAGCAAAUGCCUUUCCCAGGCCUAGACCCCAGGUCCAGUGUGCAAAGAAGCUGGGCCUGGCUGCAGAGCCAGGCAGUUCCUUUCAUUUCAACAGAAGACGAUGCGGCAGGCCAGUGUCCAAAGUGUACAAGGUGCGUGAAGGAAUGGACACGGGACCCUGGCCUGGCCUAUCAAAGUAUCCCCUCCUCCCCAGAAUGGUGAUUGGUUCAGAGAUGUGAGCGGACAGUCCAAUGACACUCAGACCUGCACUUUUACUGGAAAUAUCGGGAAAGAGACUUGGGUCCUAGGCUUCCGGGUCAUCUUUGCCACUUCAUGGGAAGACUCUGAGAAUGAAGCCAGCACAAAAGAAGGGAAAGCUGGCAGAUUCCUGAUGAAAUCCUCUACGUUCCCAGAUCCAGCUUUGCCCUACUUGGCAGUGUAAAUGGCACUGACGUUGGGGCUUAAAAUAACUUGAGUUAGGGUUCCACCCAUGGGUUUGUGCAGUGACACACAUACAAGGAAUGGAGUGGACAGCUGCAUCCCAGCUUGUGCUGUGUGACAACCCCAGACCUGCCUGCUCUCUCUCUCUCACUCCCAUGAGCCUUGCUCUUUCACCUCCAGUGCCUUGACCCCUCUUUUCUCCAGUCCAAGCUUGAGCAUCUCAGCCACUGGUUCCCAGUGCUUCUGCUUGCUCCUUGCUUUGACUUCUUUCACACCUGACCUUUGAGCCCACAAGCCCAGGUCAAGCCUGCCUCUGCCUUCUCCAACAUCUUGAGAAGGCUGCUGCAUGUGGAGGGGGGCAAUGACCCAGGGUCCCCGUGGAGCCACACGUUGUCAUGGUCUCCAGGCUCAGCUGAGUGCUGAGAGUGUAUCCUAACUAAUGGGACAUUGAAUAAUGGUCUGCAGUUAUCACCAGCGUGGCACUGGCACAAGGACAGACAUAUAGACUAAUGGAAUAGAAUAGAGAGCCCAGAAAUAAACCCUCAGUAUAUCAGCAAGGGUGCCAAGACCAUUCA